ensembl:snRNA U2 U2 spliceosomal RNA
AUCGCUUCUCGGCCUUUUGGCUAAGAUCAAGUGUAGUAUCUGUUCUUAUCAGUUUAAUUUUGGGGAAGUUGUGGCCUAGUGGUUAGAGAGUUUGAUUCCUAACCCUAA